rnacentral:rRNA from 1 species
AGCGAACGCUGGCGGCAGGCUUAACACAUGCAAGUCGAACGGGCGUAGCAAUACGUCAGUGGCAGACGGGUGAGUAACGCGUGGGAACGUACCUUUUGGUUCGGAACAACUGAGGGAAACUUCAGCUAAUACCGGAUAAGCCCUUACGGGGAAAGAUUUAUCGCCGAAAGAUCGGCCCGCGUCUGAUUAGCUAGUUGGUGAGGUAAUGGCUCACCAAGGCGACGAUCAGUAGCUGGUCUGAGAGGAUGAUCAGCCACAUUGGGACUGAGACACGGCCCAAACUCCUACGGGAGGCAGCAGUGGGGAAUAUUGGACAAUGGGGGAAACCCUGAUCCAGCCAUGCCGCGUGAGUGAUGAAGGCCCUAGGGUUGUAAAGCUCUUUUGUGCGGGAAGAUAAUGACGGUACCGCAAGAAUAAGCCCCGGCUAACUUCGUGCCAGCAGCCGCGGUAAUACGAAGGGGGCUAGCGUUGCUCGGAAUCACUGGGCGUAAAGGGUGCGUAGGCGGGUCUUUAAGUCAGGGGUGAAAUCCUGGAGCUCAACUCCAGAACUGCCUUUGAUACUGAGGAUCUUGAGUUCGGGAGAGGUGAGUGGAACUGCGAGUGUAGAGGUGAAAUUCGUAGAUAUUCGCAAGAACACCAGUGGCGAAGGCGGCUCACUGG